GAUGCACGCUAGCGGCAGGCCUAAUACAUGCAAGUCGAGGGGUAGAGCUAGCUUGCUAGCUUGAGACCGGCGCACGGGUGCGUAACGCGUAUGCAACCUACCCUUUUCUGGGGGAUAGCCCGGCGAAAUCCGGAUUACUACCGCACAACACCACGAUACGGCAUCGUGAUGUGGUCAAACAUUUAUGGGAGAAGUAUGGGCAUGCGUGCCAUUAGAUAGUUGGCGGGGUAACGGCCCACCAAGGCGACGAUCGCUAGGGGAACUGAGAGGAUGGCCCCCCACGCUGGUACUGAGACACGGCCCAAACUCCGACGGGGGGAAGCAGUAAGGAAUAUUGGUCAAUGGGGGCAACCCUGAACCAGCCAUGCCGCGUGCAGGACGACGGCCCUCCGGGUUGUAAACUGCUUUUGUACGGGAAUAAACCCCGCUACGUGUAGCGGGCUGAAUGUACCGUAAGAAUAAGGAUCGGCUAACUCCGUGCCAGCAGCCGCGGUAA
rnacentral:rRNA from 1 species